rnacentral:rRNA from 1 species
UACGGAGGGAGCUAGCGUUGUUCGGAAUUACUGGGCGUAAAGCGCACGUAGGCGGCUUUGUAAGUUAGAGGUGAAAGCCCGGGGCUCAACCCCGGAAUUGCCUUUAAGACUGCAUCGCUUGAAUCCGGGAGAGGUGAGUGGAAUUCCGAGUGUAGAGGUGAAAUUCGUAGAUAUUCGGAAGAACACCAGUGGCGAAGGCGGCGUCAC